AAAUCCAGUGUGGCGAGAGGAUUCAGUCCGGAGCCUCGCGCGCCGGUCGGUUCGGAGAUUCCCCUUGGCGGGUCCGCGUUCCGACCGAGAAGCGCAGCGGAGCCGGACGCAAUUGUCUCUCGCCUGGACGCCGCAGCCGGUCGGGCAGCGCAAGCGCGACGGCCCGAGGGCGGACGACGGCAGGUGGCCGGUGGCGCGCGGCCCUUCGGGGCGGCGCGUCGUCGGUGUCUAGCCGGUCCGCCAGUGGCCCGUCGCCCGACCGAGUUGACUCUGUAGCGCCUCCAUCCGAGCGGGACAGGACGUCGCGGGGCGAGCCGCGCCGUCCCGCCGCACUCCGAGCGAGUGGGCGGGCGAGCGGACGCGUCUCAGUAAGCGACGGCGGACCCGCGGGAGGCCGGAGGCUCGCGGCGCUAGUAGGUCGGUCACCCACCCGACCCGUCUUGAAACACGGACCAAGGAGUCUAACAUGUGCGCGAGUCGGUGGGUCUUGAACAGGCCCAUGGGCGCAAUGAAAGCGAAGGUCGACCUGGAGUCGACCGAGUUGGGAUCCCGAACCCCGAAGCUGGGUCGGGCGCACCAACCGCCCGUCCCGAAGCGGCUCGCCGCCGGGGCGGAGUGCGAGCGCACACGUUGGGACCCGAAAGAUGGUGAACUAUGCCCGGACAGGACGAAGCCAGGGGAAACUCUGGUGGAGGUCCGCAGCGGUUCUGACGUGCAAAUCG
rnacentral:rRNA from 1 species